UACGUAGGGGGCGAGCGCUGUCCGGAAUGACUGGGCGUAAAGGGCGCGUAGGCGGUCUGAUAAGUUAGGAGUGAAAGUCCAGAUUUCAAGUGUGGAACUGCUUUUAAUACUGUCGGGCUUGAGUGCGGAAGAGGUAAGCGGAAUUCCCAGUGUAGCGGUGAAAUGCGUAGAGAUUGGGAAGAACACCAGUGGCGAAGGCGGCUUACUGGGCUGUAACUGACGCUGAGGCGCGAAAGCGUGGGGAGCGAAC
rnacentral:rRNA from 1 species